rnacentral:rRNA from 1 species
CCCCUAGAUGUUCUGGGCCGCACGCGCGCUACACUGAACAGUUCAACAAGUCUUAACCUUGGCCGAUAGGUCUGGGUAAUCUUUGAACGCUGUUCGUGAUUGGGAUAGACCUUUGCAAUUAUGGGUCUUCAACGAGGAAUUCCUAGUAAACGCAAGCCAUCAGCUUGUAUUGAUUACGUCCCUGCCCUUUGUACACACCGCCCGUCGCACCUACCGAUUGAAUGGUCCGGUGAAAUCUCGGGACGGCGGCUUGGUCGCUUGCGUCCGACUGCUGAAACUUGAUUAAACCAUAUCAUUUAGAGGAAGGUGAANUCGUANCA